rnacentral:rRNA from 1 species
GCGCAGCGAUGCGUUGAGCUAACCGGUACUAAUGAACCGUGAGGCUUAACCUUACAACGCCAAAG